UCCGUAGGGCGCAAGCGUUGUCCGGAAUUAUUGGGCGUAAAGAGCUCGUAGGCGGCUUGUCACGUCGGGUGUGAAAGCCCGGGGCUUAACCCCGGGUCUGCAUUCGAUACGGGCAGGCUAGAGUGUGGUAGGGGAGAUCGGAAUUCCUGGUGUAGCGGUGAAAUGCGCAGAUAUCAGGAGGAACACCGGUGGCGAAGGCGGAUCUCUGGGCCAUUACUGACGCUGAGGAGCGAAAGCGUGGGGAGCGAACAGG
rnacentral:rRNA from 1 species